UCAGAUGCCUGCAAGUGAAUUGAGCAAAAUUACAUUUGACGACAUGACUGUUGGGAAUGAUAGCACCAUGUAGUGCUGUUGAUAGAGGGAGAUGAUUUUUUAAGCAGGACACCUGGGCAAUGUCCGGAAUGAAUGAGCUUCAGUGAACCAUUCUAAUGGCAACCCUAGUUCAGCAAAAUGAACAAAGGACUGUGAAGGGUGAUCGGAAGCCAGUAAUUCCUGGAUCCUUUCAUGGAAAAGGGCCUUUGGAAUUUUAAAAGUGACAUAUC
rnacentral:lncRNA from 1 species